rnacentral:tRNA from 13 species
GCCGGCUUAGCUCAGCUGGUAGAGCAUCUGAUUUGUAAUCAGAGGGUCGGGGGUUCGAGUCCCUCAGCCGGCACCA